CCGAGACUCAGUGAAAUUGAACUCGCUGUGAAGAUGCAGUGUACCCGCGGCAAGACGGAAAGACCCCGUGAACCUUUACUAUAGCUUGACACUGAACAUUGAGCCUUGAUGUGUAGGAUAGGUGGGAGGCUUUGAAGUGUGGACGCCAGUCUGCAUGGAGCCGGCCUUGAAAUACCACCCUUUAAUGUUUGAUGUUCUAACGUGGACCCGUGAUCCGGGUUGCGGACAGUGUCUGGUGGGUAGUUUGACUGGGGCGGUCUCCUCCUAAAGAGUAACGGAGGAGCACGAAGGUUGGCUAAUCCUGGUCGGACAUCAGGAGGUUAGUGCAAUGGCAUAAGCCAGCUUGACUGCGAGCGUGACGGCGCGAGCAGGUGCGAAAGCAGGUCAUAGUGAUCCGGUGGUUCUGAAUGGAAGGGCCAUCGCUCAACGGAUAAAAGGUACUCCGGGGAUAACAGGCUGAUACCGCCCAAGAGUUCAUAUCGACGGCGGUGUUUGGCACCUCGAUGUCGGCUCAUCACAUCCUGGGGCUGAAGUAGGUCCCAAGGGUAUGGCUGUUCGCCAUUUAAAGUGGUACGCGAGCUGGGUUUAGAACGUCGUGAGACAGUUCGGUCCCUAUCUGCCGUGGGCGCUGGAGAACUGAGGGGGGCUGCUCCUAGUACGAGAGGACCGGAGUGGACGCAUCACUGGUGUUCGGGUUGUCAUGCCAAUGGCACUGCCCGGUAGCUAAAUGCGGAAGAGAUAAGUGCUGAAAGCAUCUAAGCACGAAACUUGCCCCGAGAUGAGUUCUCCCUGACCCUUUAAGGGUCCUGAAGGAACGUUGAAGACGACGACGUUGAUAGGCCGGGUGUGUAAGCGCAGCGAUGCGUUGAGCUAACCGGUACUAAUGAACCGUGAGG
rnacentral:rRNA from 1 species